rnacentral:tRNA from 1 species
UCCCUGGUGGUCAGGUGGUUAGGACUCUGCACUGUUACUGCAGAGGGUCUGGGUUCAAUCCCUGGUCAGGAAA